UUUUAAUGUGAGCUAUCAUCCCCAGAGGCUCUGGAGGAAGUGACUCACUGGGGGUGGUCGUUGAGUGUUCUAAGCCUGGCUCCAUUCCUGGCCCUUUCUCUGCCUUCCUCCAAGAUGGAGGAAGGAAGUCCCGGCGGCUCCCCCACACCUCAAGCUUUGAGCUGACAGACCCUGCCUCGGUUAGGUAUCUCAUCACAACAACAAGUAAUAACACACUGGAUGUCAGUAGGCUUUGGGAAACUGUGUUUUCCUGAAAUUUUUGCUUGUGGAUAAAUGAAGCGGUUGAGCCUGAGAUCCGUGGAGGUGAGGAUACGGAUGACACUGCCGUGGUUACUGCUGAAACCGUAGUAAGAGCCCACCAUGGAUAUAAUCUACGAAGCUGAGAUAAGCUUCUGCAGGGGGCGGGAGGUGAGAAGACCAUACUGAAGAGCAGUGCACUCUGGGAAGAGGUCAUGUCUCCAGUUCUUUGCUUCAAAGGAUGCAGUGAUGAGUAAUUAUAAGUGCACAGGAGAUGGCAGCAAAAGAGAAGAAACGUGUUUGGCCGGGCCUGGUGCCUCCAUCUCUCCUCUGACACCGUCUCCUAGCCAAAGCUUCUAGCAGCUCUGCAGACCAUUCCAAAAGCCUCUAACUGUUUUCCCAGCACUUCUUUGGCAGCUAAAGCUCUCUUUCCGCACAGCAAGUAGGAAAGAAUCCGAACAACAUAGAUACAGCUGCAUCGAGGCCCAGUUCAUAGCUCGUGAGCUUAUACCACACACACUGUCAUCACCGUCAUCACUAGGGCAGAGCCCACGCCAUGCUCUGGUGGUCCUCAGGUACCUGGUCCUCACCUGCUUCUCAUGCUCUGCACCUGGCCACACUGGCUGCUGUUAGGAUCCUCCGGUGCUCCAAGCUUGUCCCAGGGUUGGUUCUCUCCGUUGGGAAAAGGCUCCCCCAAGAUCUUGCCAUGGAUGUCCCUUCUUUUGAGUUCCUUUCUCCAUCUCACUCCCACUUUUAGAAGAGGCCUUCCCUAACCCAGCCUUGAACUUGUGAUCCUGCCCUCUGGGCCUCCCGAGUUCCUGGGCUUACAGACAAGGGCCACCCAACACAUAGCUCUCAAGUCCCCAUUUUGUUUCCUUCCUCUUCCUGCCUCUUUCUGAGUUAUUUUCUCUAAUGUGCCCUGAGACUGUGUUCCUGAGAACAUGGCUUCCAUUGUCCAUU